ensembl:lncRNA
GUCUCUUUCAGGAGACUGCUCCUCUGGGAGUUUUCUUUUCUGCAAGCCUACAACGCAGAAAGUGAAGGAGCUCUUCCAGUACAUCGGAAAGACCAGAAAAGCAAUUCUGUAUGUUUUUGCCUCCUAAUUUUGAUACAAACUGGGAGUAACUGCACUUAUUUCAGGCUCACACAGCAUCAUAUCCUCCUUCUGUUUGGUUAUUAGACAUAAACUUGUCUGUUUUUAUCAAUUUAGUAAUACAUCCUCAUACGUGACACUAAGACUUGUCUGAAUCGCUGGUUUUGAAUCCUUCUUUCAUGUUUAAAAUAUUACCAUUUUGCUACAUUUAUUCAUCUGGGUUUAAGUUUUGGUUACUUCAACUUUUUAUGUUCAUUUUAACUUAGAGAAAAUCAAUUGAUAAAACAUUGCAUUUGUUUACACAUUUUCAAAUUAAUAUGUUAUGUAAAGUAAUAAUGUCAGAUUGAAUCCUGUAAUAUUUAGAUAUGAAGAAGGCCCCAAUUUUUUUUUGCAUGCUUUACCUCACCAAAACUACUGAUGUAAACAAAAGGCAUCAAGUAUGAAUUUUGAAUUAGAAAACUGAACCUUCAACAACUGAGUCUGGUUGGUACUAACAUGCUGCGUCAAACCUCAUUAAAACCGCCAAUAGAGGACUAUCCUGCAUAUAAGUAUAAUGCCAUAACCCACUACUGCAGAGACAAAGAAGGCUCCAGUUCAUGGCGACCCAAGGGACAAGAUGUGCAGCUGGUCAGACAAGUACAUGAAUGAAAUUUUUACUAAAUUAGUUGUUUAGUAUUUUUAUCAUUGCCUCUCUCUGCCUGCUGUUUCUCUGCUUGUCAAAUCUGCUCUUUGCAUUCCGACCUGCAGGCAUGAAAUGGGUAGUUCUCUCCCAGAUACUUGCCAGUAAAUCCUCAGUAGUAACACAAAACAGAGCCUGAAUGGGGAGACACCACGAGGGCUCUUUCACAAACAGAACAGUGAGCCAGGCCACACUUCUGCUGGCUCAACAGACAGCUGAAUGGGCUUUGUUUGCUGCUAGAUGGAGGUGACUAAUGAUGUAAAGAGAACUUACUUUGCUAUGAGAGACCUUCAAAUGCAUUUAGCUGAAUGAUGCCUAGCAGGAAAGGCAGAAAAUGUCGGAUCAGUUUAAAAAAAAGGAGUGUACUUUCACACUCAGUACAUUGGUAUAUAUAUGUAUUUAUAUUUUGUCUUUUGUAUUUUGUUUUUGUCUUCCUUUUUUAUUUUUAUUUUUGUUUUGUAACUGGGCUUAGACAUCUUUCUUAGGCAAUGUCUUCUUAAUGCAAAUUUAGUGACAGAUAUAGGUGUGUGCAGAUGUUCUGUUUGAGGACAAAACAGAAAGUUUUCUACUAAAUUAGGCCUGAUUUGGCUUGGCAGAAAGAUCCAGAGCAAAUUACAGAGACCACAAGGUAUCAGUGACUGCAUGGAUUCUUCUGAACUGUGUAAGACUGGCAAUUCCAAAUCUGUGAAUCAAAACAAAAAUAAAAGGAGGUUUCCUGUGGUGAUUAGACU